CAGCUAAAAAGCUCGUAGUUGGAUUUCGGAGUGGGCCAGUUGGUCCGCCGCAAGGUGUGUUACUGACUGGUUUGCUCUUCUUCGCAAAGACUGCGUGUGCUCUUGAGUGAGUGUGCGUAGGAUUUACGACGCUUACUUUGAAAAAAUUAGAGUGUUCAAAGCAGGCUAUUGCUUGAAUACAUGAGCAUGGAAUAAUGGAAUAGGACUUUGGUCCCAUUUUGUUGGUUUCUAGGGCCGAAGUAAUGAUUAAGAGGGACAAUUGGGGGCAUCCGUAUUUCGUUGUCAGAGGUGAAAUUCUUGGAUUUACGAAAGACGAACAACUGCGAAAGCACUUGCCAAGAGUGUUUUCAUUAAUCAAGAACGAAAGUUAGAGGAUCGAAGACGAUCAGAUACCGUCCUAGUUCUAACCAUAAACGAUGUCGACUAGGGAUCAGCGGGCGUUAUCGUACGACCCCGUUGGCACCUUACGGGAAACCAAAGUUUUUGGAUUCCGGGGGAAGUAUGGUUGCAAAGCUGAAACUUAAAGGAAUUGACGGAAGGGCACCACCAGGAGUGGAGCCUGUGGCUCAAUUUGACUCAACACGGGAAAACUUACCAGGUCCAGACAUAGUAAGGAUUGACAGGUUGAGAGCCCUUUCU
rnacentral:rRNA from 1 species